UACGUAGGGAGCAAGCGUUGUCCGGAUUUAUUGGGCGUAAAGCGCUCGUAGGCGGUUCGGUAAGUCGGGUGUGAAAACUCUGGGCUCAACCCGGAGAGGCCACCCGAUACUGCCGUGACUGGAGUCUGGUAGGGGAGCACGGAAUUCCUGGUGUAGCGGUGAAAUGCACAGAUAUCAGGAGGAACACCGGUGGCGAAGGCGGUGCUCUGGGCCAGUACUGACGCUAAAGAGCGAAAGCGUGGGUAGCGAACAGG
rnacentral:rRNA from 1 species